UUCUCCUUAUCCUUUCAGAGAAAUCCGAUAAAAUUGAAACGAUACAGAGAAAAUUAAUAUGGCCGCUGCUCAAGGAUGACAUGCAUAAAUAUCAUCUCUCU